rnacentral:rRNA from 1 species
GACGAACGCUGGCGGCGUGCCUAAUACAUGCAAGUAGAACGCACAGUUUAUACCGUAGCUUGCUACACCAUAGACUGUGAGUUGCGAACGGGUGAGUAACGCGUAGGUAACCUGCCUGGUAGCGGGGGAUAACUAUUGGAAACGAUAGCUAAUACCGCAUAAUAUUAAUUAUUGCAUGAUAAUUAAUUGAAAGGUGCAAUUGCACCACUACCAGAUGGACCUGCGUUGUAUUAGCUAGUAGGUGAGGUAACGGCUCACCUAGGCGACGAUACAUAGCCGACCUGAGAGGGGGAUCGGCCAAACUGGGACUGAGACACGGCCCAGACUCCUACGGGAGGCAGCAGUAGGGAAUCUUCGGCAAUGGACGAAAGUCUGACCGAGCAACGCCGCGUGAGUGAAGAAGGUUUUCGGAUCGUAAAGCUCUGUUGUAAGAGAAGAACGGGUGUGAGAGUGGAAAGUUCACACUGUGACGGUAUCUUACCAGAAAGGGACGGCUAACUACGUG